UCUAUGCACAAGCCGAUUAAUGGUGAAGCCGCGAAUGGCUCAUUACAACAGCCACUGUUUACUUGAUCUUGACUAUCCUACUUGGAUAACUGUGGUAAUUCUAGAGCUAAUACACGCAAUAAAGCUCCGACCUUACGGGACGAGCGCAUUUAUUAGACCAAAACCAAUCGGGCUUCGGCCUGAGCCGUUGGUGACUCUGAAUAACUGAGCUGAUCGCAUGGUCUUUGUACCGGCGACGCAUCUUUCAAGUGUCUGCCUUAUCAACUUUCGAUGGUAGUUUAUGUGCCUACCAUGGUUGUUACGGGUAACGGAGAAUAAGGGUUCGACUCCGGAGAGGGAGCCUGAGAAACGGCUACCACAUCCAAGGAAGCCACCAGGCGCGCAAAUUACCCACUUUCGGCACGAGGAGGUAUUGACGAAAAAUAACGAGCCGGUUCUCUAUGAGGCCCGCUAUCGGAAUGGGUACAAUUUAAA
rnacentral:rRNA from 1 species